rnacentral:rRNA from 1 species
GACGAACGCUGGCGGCGUGCUUAACACAUGCAAGUCGAACGGAAAGGCCCUGCUUUUGUGGGGUGCUCGAGUGGCGAACGGGUGAGUAACACGUGAGUAACCUGCCCUUGACUUUGGGAUAACUUCAGGGAACUGGGGCUACUACCGGAUCGGAGCUGCUGCUGCAUGGUGGGGGUUGGAAAGUUUCGGCGGUUGGGGAUGGACUCGCGGCGUAUCAGCUUGUUGGUGGGGUAGUGGCUUACCAAGGCUUUGACGGGUAGCCGGCCUGAGAGGGUGACCGGCCACAUUGGGACGGAGAUACGGCCCAGACUCCUACGGGAGGCAGCAGUGGGGAAUAGUGCACAAUGGGCGGAAGCCUGAUGCAGCAACGCCGCGUGCGGGAUGACGGCCUUCGGGUUGUAAACCGCUUUCGCCUGUGACGAAGCGUGAGUGACGGUAAUGGGUAAAGAAGCACCGGCUAACUACGUG